UACAGAGGUCUCAAGCGUUGUUCGGAUUCAUUGGGCGUAAAGGGUGCGUAGGCGGCGCGGUAAGUCGGGUGUGAAAUCUCGGAGCUUAACUCCGAAAUUGCAUUCGAUACUGCCGUGCUUGAGGACUGGAGAGGAGACUGGAAUUUACGGUGUAGCGGUGAAAUGCGUAGAUAUCGUAAGGAAGGCCAGUGGCGAAGGCGGGUCUCUGGACAGUUCCUGACGCUGAGGCACGAAGGUCAGGGGAGCAAACGGG
rnacentral:rRNA from 1 species